CGGAUUNUAGGCUGAAACUACGCCUACAUGAAGCUGGAGUUGCUAGUAAUCGCGAAUCAGCAUGUCGCGGUGAAUACGUUCCCGGGCCUUGUACACACCGCCCGUCACACCAUGAGAGUUGGCAAUACCCAACGUACGUGAUCUAACCCGCAAGGGAGGAAGCGUCCUAAGGUAGGGUCAGCGAUUGGGGUGAAGUCGUAACAAGGUAUC
rnacentral:rRNA from 1 species